GAUGAACGCUGGCGGCGUGCCUAAUACAUGCAAGUCGGACGGAGCGCUUCGGCGCUCAGUGGCGAACGGGUGAGUAAUACAUAAGUAACCUGCCCUAGACAGGGGGAUAACUGCUGGAAACGGCAGCUAAGACCGCAUAGGUAUGGACACUGCAUGGUGACCAUAUUAAAAGUGCCAAGGCACUGGUAGAGGAUGGACUUAUGGCGCAUUAGCUGGAUGGUGAGGUAACGGCUCACCAAGUCGACGAUCCAUAGCCGGACUGAGAGGUUGAACGGCCACAUUGGGACUGAGACACGGCCCAG
rnacentral:rRNA from 1 species